GCCAUCCCCAACAUUCUGCUCUUCCAUCGGCAUCACCCCAUCCGAGCUGCUGGGUAUCUUCACUUGGGGACACCGUCGGGAAUUUCCAGUGUGUCUGGAAGUGGCCUCCCUAGUUAUGGAUGGUACACCUGUAGGGGCUCCCAUCCCCUUCUCACCUGGGUGCUGUCAGCCCUCACUCUCCUAUUGGAUCAACUGUCCUGUUCACUGAGUCUCAACACUGUCACCUGUUGUAUUAGCAAGGUGCGCUUGGCCAAGCCGCCCCAAACAGCCCUCUGAGAACAGAGCCUCCUUGUAGCUGCCUCAGACCCAAUUUGUACAUUGUACACAACAGCCCAGGUAGGGAGGACAGCUGCCCCAGGUCCCAUAGGGCUGCAUGCCUCAAGCCCACGUCAUGCAGAGCCACUCAGCUCACCCUGCUCAGGGCAUGUGGUCUACCUGUGUUCCCCUCUUGCGGGUCCUACGUGUGGAGGACAUACCAUCUGACCUCUGCAGGAGAGAAACUCACGGAAGAUAGAAAGAAGCUCCAAGACUACGGCAUCCGGAAUCGAGACGAGGUUUCCUUCAUCAAAAAGCUGAGGCAAAAGUGAGCCUCCAGACAGGACAACCCUCUUCAUCACUGGUGGCUGAGCUUUUUCCCAGCAGGAAUGGGUCCUCGAGUCAUCGUGCCUCUUUCACAGAAAGGACGUUGUGGUGGCCUCACCCCAGGCAUGCCCAACAGGAACUGUCAGCAUCAACCUGGGGGCCCUCAGGACUAGGACAGGGUGAGCCAGUGCUCCCUCCUUUCAUGUACUUGGCCUGAGACUGACCUCUCCCUGGGUCCAAAUGCCCUAGUCACAUGGCAGACCCACGGCCUGGCCCAGUGUAUAAAAUAAACCUGUUUGCUUCUUAGUUUGAAAAGUAAAAACCCACAGUAACUUGGGUAGCAAAGACAGAUUGCCCCAUCACAGAGGUGAGUUAAGGGGAGAGAAUUGGUACAGGCGAGUCCUAUAGUCCAAGAUGGCGCCACACCACCAAAGCCUUGAGGCCACGCCACUCCCCAAACCACACAACUGUGUUACCAUGAUCUCCACAGCAAGGAGGAAAUAAAAGCAGAGCGGCUUUA